CGGCGUUCUGGGUGGCCAGGAGGAGGAUGCGCCACCGCAUCGGCGACUUCGCCGGUUCGCCCUCCUCGGCGCGGGGUACUAGCUAGUCCGACGAGGACUCUGCGGCCGCGGGGAGGGUUCAGGCUGUCAUGGGAUUCAAGAGUAUAAGUGGUAUACAAAAGUUUGCUUUAUGAUAGGGCAGUGUUCGGUAAAGGUUGGGUAAGAGGUUUCUUCAAGUGUCAACAUACAAGACUAUACUGAUUAACUGGAGAUGGUCCCAGUUACAUGGUUCCGUUGGACACAAUGAAGCCAUCCAGAUAUGCUAUCAAAUCCUCCUAGUUAUGGCUUUAAAUUGUACCAUGCCUGUUUAAUCUUCAGAUACACAGAGCAUAAACUAUCAAAGGAUCCCGUUACAGACUGCUCGCAUUUGAGAGAUUUCUGUAAGGUGGUUCUCCAAAGGUGAAGUUUAUCCUCUCUGAUACUGCUGUUAUGAACUCAAUGGUAGUGAUUUUCAGAGCAACAUGAUGUUUUUUGAAGGAAAAAUAGAUGCCUCUCAGUCAGUAACAUUGAUGAUAAUGAGCCAAGGUGUCGGGCGCUCUUGAAUACAUGAUACUAGCGUUCAUGCUGAUGUGUGUUAGACGUCAUCAUUAUACAGCAGCCAGAAAGCCAGGAGCUCCACUUUGGCUGCAGUCUGCUUCUUCCACUCCUGAAACUGUUAUCCUGCAGGCAAUGCGCGUUGCAUCCUGCCUGCUGGAGCCCUCAUCCAAUCAGUGAAGGCACUAAACCCACAAGCGAUGGGAUCAGCAAGCAAGGUCAUGCACAUCUUGUUGGAUGAAGUCAUUACAAUACAGCCUUCAAGCUAUGAAAUCUGUCUAAGCAAAGCAAGACCAUGCAUAUACCUUGUUACCUCUAUAAGCCAAUGAAUCCACUGAUGAUUCUGCUAAUCUAAACAUCGUUGUUGGCAACAGGAGUGAAUCUCUAGAUGAUGACUCUGCACCUAACCAGUUACCCAAUCUCUUUGCCCCUGCUGCCUCUCCGUCCACUCCUGGCCACCACCGGCUCUCGUGGGGUUCAUGUAACUUUCCAUUGACAUCUUGCAGCUGCUGCUCUUUCUAGCUGGUCUGAACUGUCCAUCGUCCCAGUCCCCUCCAAUCACAACUGCUUCGCACUCUCGCCCGCUGACGAGGUGCGUACAAUCCUCUGCUGCUUUCUGUUUUUCCCUUUCACUUUAUGCACCUGGAUCAGAUCGUCAGAAGAGCAAGCAAAGCAAGCGCCGUUUGCGCCGGUGCAGGCUGCAGGGGGGGGUUUCGAGUGGUGACGGCUGCUUUCGAGCCCAAUCGCGGCAAGCAUUCCCCUUCCCGGUAUGUUGUAGUGUGGCCUGGUGGUGGUGACGCGGCAACGGCUUGCGAAGAUAUUCACUUGCUAGGUUUGCACGCAAGUCGUGUGCUUGUGGACGCUAGUGCAGAUUUGGUGCUAGAGCAUAAGGGAAAGGCUACUCUGGAGACUUAAUCGUGUAAGGUCACUAGGUUGGGUGUGGUGAUAUUAUCUGGCUAUCAUUGAGAAUUGGGUAAGGUCGUUUAGUGUGCUAGAAAAAGUCGAGCACUCUUUUGACAAUUCGUCAGAAAAUUGUACUACUUGAUUGAGAUUUGUGUUCAAUCCAAUGUGUUCUUUAUCACU